AGAGUUUGAUCAUGGCUCAGGGCGAACGCUGGCGGCGUGCCUAAUACAUGCAAGUAGAACGCUGAAAUCUGGUGCUUGCACCGGAUGGAUGAGUUGCGAACGGGUGAGUAACGCGUAGGUAACCUACCUCAUAGCGGGGGAUAACUAUUGGAAACGAUAGCUAAUACCGCAUAACAGUCUUUAACUCAUGUUAGAGUCUUGAAAGGGGCAAUUGCUUCACUAUGAGAUGGACCUGCGUUGUAUUAGCUAGUUGGUGAGGUAACGGCUCACCAAGGCGACGAUACAUAGCCGACCUGAGAGGGUGAUCGGCCACACCGGGACUGAGACACGGCCCAGACUCCUACGGGAGGCAGCAGUAGGGAAUCUUCGGCAAUGGGGGCAACCCUGACCGAGCAACGCCGCGUGAGUGAAGAAGGUUUUCGGAUCGUAAAGCUCUGUUGUAAGAGAAGAACGUGUGUGAGAGUGGAAAGUUCACACAGUGACGGUAUCUUACCAGAAAGGGACGGCUAACUACGUGCCAGCAGCCGCGGUAAUACGUAGGUCCCGAGCGUUGUCCGGAUUUAUUGGGCGUAAAGCGAGCGCAGGCGGUUUGAUAAGUCUGAAGUUAAAGGCUGUGGCUCAACCAUAGUACGCUUUGGAAACUGUCAAACUUGAGUGCAGAAGGGGAGAGUGGAAUUCCAUGUGUAGCGGUGAAAUGCGUAGAUAUAUGGAGGAACACCGGUGGCGAAAGCGGCUCUCUGGUCUGUAACUGACGCUGAGGCUCGAAAGCGUGGGUAGCGAACAGGAUUAGAUACCCUGGUAGUCCACGCCGUAAACGAUGAGUGCUAGGUGUUAGGCCCUUUCCGGGGCUUAGUGCCGCAGCU
rnacentral:rRNA from 1 species